CCCUCUAUUUCUCUCUCCAAUCUUUCUGUUUCCCUCUGAUCUUGGAAGCUAAGCAGGGUUGGUACUAGACAGCACGUGAAUGGGAGACCACCUGGGAAUCAUGAGUGCUAUAGGGC
rnacentral:rRNA from 1 species